GAGGAUUGGCGUUUUUUUUUGACAGUUCAGUGGGUAUAAUAUGGAUUGAAUGAUUUUGCUUUGCAACUUAUAUUUCAUCUUCUCAGCAUAAUUAAUAUGAAUGAUAAAGAAGGAUGUAUCAAGUCCCCAGUGUGAUGAAUUCCAUGCUGCCCUGUUACAGGAGAUGGUUUAUAGAGACAGAUGGCAUUGGGUAUAUAGAAAGGAUGCCCUUCAAGACACCUACAUAAAUUAACUGGCUCUCUUACUCAUUCUCAUAGAUUAUUUUUCUACUCUAUUAAGAGAUUUUACUAGCACACUGAGUGCUUUUAAAAUAUUCUGCAUUUAAUUUGGGAUGUCUCCAAAACUCAAGGAUCCUGGGAUGCUUGGAAGAUAUCCAGAGAGAUCAUCAUUGAGAGUGAUGAAAGGGGAUGGAAAAUGGAUAUAGUGAGCAUAACAAGAAGAAAUGUAAUGUCCAGGAUGGUAAAUAGCUGCUGUGUGUUAUUUCCAAGGAGAUCAAAGCAAGAAAAAAAGAGCACAAAUUAUACCCGGCAGGAUUUAGGAAGGACAAAAUGUACAAUGUCCAGAUACAAGUACACAAUCUGAAGGGUUUUUCUACUACAGCUCAGGUGGCCAAUUGCAAUUCUGUUCCUGCUCCAUGAGGAAGUCCACACUCUGCCACACCAGUUCACGAUCUGCAGGCUUGAGGUGCUCAUGGUAAAUGAAGGAUAUAAGAGAAGUGAAGCAUUCUAGGCAAAAGAAAUAUGCACAAAGGAAUGAAUAUAUGAGGACAUUUUGUGAUUGGGAGACUAUGCUGAACAGAACUUGGAGUGGGGAGAUAAAGUUUGAAUCUGGAAAAGAGGCAUGUGGUCUAAAAAGACCUUGCAGGGGCUGGGGAUUAAGCUCAAGUGCCUGAGUUCGAUCCCUGGUACCGAUAAAAACGAAAAAGACCAAAAAAAAAAAAAAAGAGCUUGUAAAUCUUGUUCAGGACUCAAAAGUAAUUUCUUUUGCUCUCAAUACUUUAAUCCUCCAUUGUGGUGGUUAGUAUACGCUUCUGUUCAGAUAAAGAAGCAAGUCAUCUGACCACCAAUGAACAUCACAAUAAUUUCUGAUACUCAUGGACAACAGCUUGAA